CGGUGUACUCAUCAAGGCAAUGCGUUUCGGGGAUUUUAAAUUUCAACGCCCCCACCUAACUGUUUUCAUACUAAAAAAGUCACGUGUUAAUAGGAUUGUUAAGGAUAUGCCUUUGGAAAGUUUAAAUUUCUAUCGCCACCACUCCACGUCUACUUAUAUGUUAGCAAAAUUUCUAGAAAAAUUUUACCUUUUUUGAUGAACAUUUUUUUCGUUCGAU